UGGGGAAAUAAAAGUGCCAUUCAGAUCAUUAGAACUUGAUGAUUGGUUGGGAUGUGGAAGUUGGGGAGACCUAAGGAUCUGGGAUGGGAGCAAGUUUCUGGCUUAGGAAUUGAACCAUUCUUGGAUGUGACAUAGGCUAGCCUCUCUCUAGCUUUUCAACUCCUUUGCCUGGAACAUUUUUCAUUUCCUCUUUGCUGUUUCAUAACUUUCACCAGACCAGUUCCUACUCACAGGAUCUGUUCAUGUCUCUCAGAAGUUCUUCCUGAGCUAUCAAGUCUAUUUUGGUAGCGUCUCUAG
rnacentral:lncRNA from 1 species